GUAGGGUUUCGCACGUAACGGCGGUGGCUGCUGUCAGAUUCCGUUCCUUGAGGAGGUACCUGCUCUUGCGCUCUUCUCCCGCUUUCCAUGAGGUAUUACUCUGAAGGCACAGCAGCAACUGACUAUAAAUUCCCGAGAAGGAGUUUCAGAGAGCAAAAGCAGCUGAAGAACUUCUGAACUACAUUUAGGUGCUUUCACUUACAGCAAGUAAGCAACCUGGCAAGCAUCCAGAAGUUACUCCAAAUUAUUGAUUUCCUGCUUCACACGAAAUUAAGAUAUCUGCUUAAACUACAUGAACUAGAGUGGGGAAGACCCCACAGGCAGGAAGACCCACAUCACCACUGCAAGAAAGCAUGCCAUGGGGACAACCAAGCAAUACAACUGGAAGGGCAGGCGGGCUACACCUGACAGGAGUUGGGAGAAAGGGAGAGUACAAGGUCUAAGAUGACCCCAAGCUGUGGGAUGAGCAGGACAUUAACAAACGGGGGGAAACCCAUUUGAACCUGGUUUGGAAGGAGACCGAAACUGUACUUCAAACACAAUACAGAUUUAACCUUUUUUUGCUUUUCCAUUUUGAAGAAAAGUUUAAGGGUAAGAUAAGGAAAAACUACUCAAUUUUCAGAGAAAGCCAGGCAGUACUGAGAGAAUCAAGUUCACAGGCCACCCUAAGAAGGAGGUGACAGCAUGGAGUACUCUCAAACCCUGGAACUAAGCUGACUCCUAGGCUUAACUCCUGGCUUACGACAAGCUGUGAAUGCACUUAUUCCACUGCAAUUGUGGGAAUUUCAUCUACCUUAGAGGAUUGUUGAGGGGUUUAUGGGAGGAAUGGGAGAAUAAUUUGUUUAGUGUCAGUUAAAGAACUCCUGGCAUAUUCAACAAAUGUCAGUCUCCAUCUGCUAUGUAACUACUCCAACUCAAUCCUAUCAAUAUGUAUUGAGUAUCAGUCAGACACAGUGGCUCACACCUGCAAUCCCAACACUUUGGGAGGCCGAGGUGGGGGGCAUCAUUUGAGUUCGGGAGUUCAAGACCAGCCUGGCCAAUGUGGCAAAACCGUGU